CCGACGCCCAGAUCUCUCUCUCUUUCUCUCUCUCUCUCUCUCUCUCUCUGAAGUUUUUCAGUUUUUGGUUCUUUGUUCCGGCGCUACCUCCGCGGCUUUCCUACAUGCCUACUUUGUUUCCCUACAUGCCUACUUUGUUUUCUUUCAAGAGUUUCUUUCUCUGGUUCAGUUCUUAUAUUCCCAGUAAAAUUAGCGCAUUGAUAGCUUUCUAGGGUUUUAUAUAUAGAUGGAGAAGCCAUUAAAGCAGCUCUCAACACAGGAAUGGGAGGUUCUGAUCGACGAUUUCCAAUCUGGAGCCCCUCGUCGAGAAAGAUGGCUCUCACAGUACUCAGGUCUUGCCCUUCUCGAAGUCUCUCUCUCCUCCAUUCUCAGAAAGGAUUUCCCGCUCAAGCUCCAGCUCAUUGUUUUCCUCGAAGAGUUCGCAGACGUCUUGAUUAGAGAAUUCGAGGUCGAAGAGGCUUUGGGCCGAUUAAUCGAAGCUCUUCGUGCUGUAGUUCAAGCACCCAUGGAUGGAAUCUCAGUGACGUAUUCCCUUAAGGAACAGAUGAUGAUUUCGGUUACAUCGGUUGUUAUCACCAUUGAUGGAUUCAAGAGUGCAAUUCGGCAUGUCGAGAGCUUGACCGAAUUGCUCUUGACGGUUAUUAAUAGGCCGAACCACGGCUUGGAUCGGCAGACCAGAGCAAUUGCCUGUGUGUGCUUGAGGGAAUUAGAGAGAAACUACCCUUGUUUGCUUGCUGAGAUUGCCGGUCAUUUGUGGAGCUUGUGUCAGAGCGAGAGGACUCAUGCUUCACAGAGCUACAUUCUAUUGUUAACGUCUGUGAUCCACGAUCUCGUGAUCUCAAAAACGAAUGUUUCGAUUCUCACCACAUCAGUUCCUCUGGUGCCUUUCAAUGUUCCACAUUCACUCCUUGCGACAGGGGAAGCAGGUUCAAGUUCAGGUUUGAAUAAGGAGCUUUCAGUUUCGAAUAUCAGGGAGCUUCGGAAAGUGAUGGCUUUCUUGCUGGAAAGGCCCCAGAUUCUAACCCCCUGUGGAAUGAUAGAAUUCAUGUCAAUGCUAAUGCGCGUUGCAGUGGCUCUGGAGUUGCAGGCAUCUCUGUUGAAGGUGCAAUUCUCUGGCCUGCUUUACUCGUAUGAUCCUAUCCUAUGCCAUGUUGUUCUCAUGCUAUAUUCGCGUUUCUCAGAUGCAUUUGAUGGACAAGAGGCUGAGAUUGCGCGGCGUCUGAUGCUAAUUUCAAGGGAAGUUCAACAUCAUCUGGUUUUCCGCUUACUUGCUAUCCACUGGUUGUUGGGUUUUGUUGGUUUGACACAGAGGAGAGAACUAACAAAGAAAAAUCCCAUUUUCAAUAUGGUAUUGAGCUUUUACCCCACUGUAUUUGAUCCACUUGCGCUGAAAGCGUUGAAGCUAGAUAUCCUUGCCUACUGUGCCAUUUGUCUUGACCUCUCGAGGACCGAAAAUCCCAGUGGUGUUUUAAGUGAAGAAGUGAACACUGAAGUUUCUGUGGUGAAACUCUUUGAAGACGGUCAUGUCUCUGUUUCCGCAUUCAAAUGGUUGCCCCCAUGGAGCACAGAAACUGCAGUGGCAUUCCGUACCUUCCAUAAGUUCUUGAUAGGCGCCACCCCUCAUUCUAUUUGUGAUUCUUCGACCAUUAGGGUUCUGAUGGAGUCUACCAUCUUUCACAGGUUACAGAGGAUGCUAGUGAACAUGGCAUUAGAGUUCCGAAGACUCGUUCCAGUAAUCGUUGCUUUCAUUGACCGUUUGUUGGGCUGUCACUCACAUUGUUGGUUGGGGGAGCGCCUGCUCCAGACAUUUGAUGAGCAUAUGCUUCCAAAGGUCAUAAAGGACUACCAGUUGGCUUCUUACUUCCCAAUUUUCAAUAGGAUUGCUGAGAAUGAUACCAUACCUCCUCAUGGAUUGUUAGAGUUACUUACUUCAUUUGUAGUUGCUCUAGUGGAGAAACAUGGACCAGAUACAGGAAUGAAGUCAUGGUCUCUGGGAAGUAAAGUUCUUGGUAUUUGUCGGACAAUGCUCAUGCAUCAUAAUAGCUCCAGAGUUUUCUUUACACUUACCCACCUUCUGGCAUUCACUUGCCUGUACUUUCCUGAUCUAGAGAUUCGGGACAAUGCAAGGAUCUACUUGCGGAUGCUCGUAUGCAUACCAGGAAAGAAGCUUAGGGACAUACUAAACCUUGGGGAACAACUUCCUAGUAUUUCACCAUCACAACCUGGUAGUUCAUUUCUCCAUGCUGAAUUUCCUCAGCCAUAUGAUGAUCUUAGGAAAUCUAGGAAUCUGUCAUCCUAUAUCUACCUUGAGAGGGUGAUUCCAUUGCUUGUCAAACAAUCAUGGUCCUUGUCUCUACCUACAUUCAGUGUUGGUGAUGAAGGAACCAGCUACUUGGAGGGCAUUGGAGACAGUGAAGCCCCUGUAGAUGUGGAAACAGAACCUGAAGGCAGUUCUGAUGUCCAGAUUGUUUCAAAUACUGAAAGAAAUCGCCAGUCACCGGAGCCAUUGCGUGUGAUGGAUACAAAAGUUUCAGAGAUUUUGGUGAUAUUACGGAGGCACUUUUCAUGCAUCCCUGAUUUUCGACACAUGCCAGGAAUCAAAAUUAGAAUACCUUGUAUUAUUAGAUUUGAAGCUGAGCCCUUCAAUCGCAUAUGGGGUUUACCUGCUACUAAUUUGGAUGGAGUGGAUGCAUUGGCUAUGCCAGCCAUAUAUGCGACUGUACUCACAUUUUCAUCUUCUUCACCGUAUGGGUCUAUUCCAUCGUGCCACAUACCUUUUCUUCUUGGUGAAUCUCUCAGAAAAGAUCAUACUUCAGAGAAAAGGGAUUGUCUUGAUAUUGUUCUGGUGGAAAAUGAAUCUCAAUCUCAAGAGGAGGAAAACUUCAGAGUCCCAGUGGUGGUUGAAUUGGAGCCUCGAGAACCAAUGCCUGGUCUAGUGGAUGUUUCCAUUGAAGCAAAUGCAGAGAGUGGACAAAUCAUCCAUGGUCAUCUUCAAAGCAUCUCAGUGGGCAUUGAGGAUAUGUUUCUCAAGGCUAAUGUUCCAUCUGACAUCCCAGAAGAUGAAGUUCCUUGCUAUUACUCAGACUUGUUUGUUGCUUUGUGGGAGGCAUGUGGUAACUCAUCAAACAUUGGACGGGAGACAUUUCCUUUGAGAGGAGGCAAAUGCUCUGCAGCUAUCAGUGGAACUCAGUCAGUCAAGCUACUGGAAGUUCCCUCAGGGUCUCUUAUUCCAGCUGUUGAGCGCCACUUGGCACCCUUUAUUGUAAGUGUGACUGGGAGACCUCUCAUCAAUAGGAUGAAGGAUGGUGGGGUCAUCGGGGAUAUCAUCUGGAAAGAUGAGACACUAGAUUCUGUCCUUGAUACUACCUCAGCAACUGAUUUUAAUGGUGGUCCACUUCAGCUUGAGUAUGUUGGUGAAAGUGGCAGAGAAAAUCAUUUCAGCAUUAGUAAGAGAGACAUGGGACAUAUUCUCAUUCUCAUAUUUCUCCCACCAAGAUUCCAUCUUCUUUUUCAGAUGGAGGUAUGUGAUAUAUCAACAUUAGUUCGAAUUAGAACUGAUCAUUGGCCAUGCCUAGCUUAUAUAGAUGAAUAUUUGGAGGCUUUGUUUUUCACUUAAAACAAAAUUACUUUUAUCAUCUCUCUGCUACAUCAGCAUCAAUUUGGUUCUUGCCAAAGCAUCCCUUCUGCACUCAAGUUCAUGAAGGUCGCCACAGUCUUCUUCACCACCUUCCUCUUCCUUGUUACCUUCUGUUAGGAACUGCCUAACUCGGGGACUUUUUCGAGGAAGCCUCUCACACAAUCAAAUCUCUCUCCGAUGAACCCAUUGCAGGUAAAUAAACCCACUUAUUUUUCCUUCCCCCAAGCCCAUAAUAUUGUCACAAACAUCUAAUACAUAGCCAUACAUAUCUACCCAACUCAUCCAUACACCAUGGACAUAUGUCAAGUGUAACUAUCAAGGAAAAUAGCAUACAAAUAAGAGCAAAUAAAAUUGCAUUCAUCAUACAUCUCUCCCCAAAUCCAUCCAUUCACCAUGUACAUAUGUCAAGUGUAACUAUCAAGGAAAAAAGCAUACAAAUA